GAUGAACGCUAGCUACAGGCUUAACACAUGCAAGUCGAGGGGUAACAAGAGAAAAGCUUGCUUUUCUUGUUGACGACCGGCGCACGGGUGAGUAACGCGUAUCCAACCUGCCUAUAACUAGGGAAUAACCUUGCGAAAGUAAGACUAAUACCCUAUGAUUUCCUUUGAUGACAUCAGAUUAGGAAUAAAGAUUUAUCGGUUAUAGAUGGGGAUGCGUCUGAUUAGCUGGUUGGCGGGGUAACGGCCCACCAAGGCAACGAUCAGUAGGGGUUUUGAGACGAAGGUCCCCCACAUUAGAACUGAGACACGGUCCAAACUCCUACGGGAGGCAGCAGUGAGGAAUAUUGGUCAAUGGGCGGAAGCCUGAACCAGCCAAGUAGCGUGCAGGAUGACGGCCCUAUGGGUUGUAAACUGCUUUUAUACAGGAGUAAAGUUAGCCACGUGUGGUUAUUUGUAGGUACUGUAUGAAUAAGGACCGGCUAAUUCCGUGCCAGCCGCCGCAGUAA
rnacentral:rRNA from 1 species